rnacentral:rRNA from 1 species
UGGGGAAUAUUGGACAAUGGGCGAAAGCCUGAUCCAGCCAUGCCGCGUGUGUGAAGAAGGUCUUCGGAUUGUAAAGCACUUUAAGUUGGGAGGAAGGGCAGUAAGCGAAUACCUUGCUGUUUUGACGUUACCGACAGAAUAAGCACCGGCUAACUCUGUGCCAGCAGCCGCGGUAAUACAGAGGGUGCGAGCGUUAAUCGGAUUUACUGGGCGUAAAGCGUGCGUAGGCGGCUAAUUGAGUCGGAUGUGAAAUCCCCGAGCUUAACUUGGGAAUUGCAUUCGAUACUGGUUAGCUAGAGUGUGGGAGAGGAUGGUAGAAUUCCAGGUGUAGCGGUGAAAUGCGUAGAGAUCUGGAGGAAUACCGAUGGCGAAGGCAGCCAUCUGGCAUAACACUGACGCUGAGGUACGAAAGCAUGGGGAGCAAACAGG